rnacentral:rRNA from 1 species
AUUAAACGCUGGCGGCAUGCCUUACACAUGCAAGUCGAACGGCAGCACGGGGCAACCUGGUGGCGAGUGGCGAACGGGUGAGUAAAGCAUCGGAACGUGCCCUGGAGUGGGGGAUAACGUAGCGAAAGUUACGCUAAUACCGCAUAUUCUGUGAGCAGGAAAGCAGGGGAUCGCAAGACCUUGCGCUGAUUGAGCGGCCGAUAUCAGAUUAGCUAGUUGGUGAGGUAAAGGCUCACCAAGGCGACGAUCUGUAGCGGGUCUGAGAGGAUGAUCCGCCACACUGGAACUGAGACACGGUCCAGACUCCUACGGGAGGCAGCAGUGGGGAAUUUUGGACAAUGGGGGCAACCCUGAUCCAGCCAUGCCGCGUGAGUGAAGAAGGCCUCGGUUGGUAAGACGUCUUCGGUCCGGGACGGAAAGUACGUAUAGGUUAGUAACCUCGUGCGGAGUGACGGUACCGGGUACCGACGUAAGAAGACGACCGGACCGUAACUAACCGUAGUCCGACGCGAGCC